rnacentral:rRNA from 1 species
AUUGAACGCUAGCGGGAUGCUUUACACAUGCAAGUCGAACGAGCGGCGGACGGGUGAGUAAUGUAUGGGGACUGCCCGAUAGAGGGGGAUAACUACUGGAAACGGUAGCUAAUACCGCAUACUAUCGGAUAACCCAUAUGGGAUUAGCUAGUAGGUGGGGUAAUGGCUCACCUAGGCGACGAUCCCUAGCUGGUCUGAGAGGAUGAUCAGCCACACUGGGACUGAGACACGGCCCAGAAUCCUACGGAGGCAGCAGUGGGGAAUAUUGCAAAAUGGGCGAAAGCCUGAUGCAGCCAGGCCGCGUGUAUGAAGAAGGCCCUAGGGUUGUAAAGUACUUUCAGUCGGGAGGCGUUACCGACAGAAGAAGCACCGGCUAACUCCGUGCCAGCAGCCGCGGUAAUUC